UUAUAAGCCGGGGUCGGGGCUUAAAACUACCGGACGAGGCUGCGGUGCGCUGGCAGCAGCUAAGCUAACUAGUUGGUUACCCUGAGGCUCGUGGCUCAGUAGGCGGCAUGGCUGGAUAUUCACCUAGACUACCAGGGGGCUCGAUCGCGACAGUCCAACAACUUCUGAAGAAUCGUCGUCCAAUAAACAAACAAGCGACCGCAAGCCCACAGCUAUCAUAUGUAUCGACAGCAUUAACAAUACCCCCCAGUCAAGAACCUGCCCAGUCCAAAAUGGCGUAUGAAAAAGAGCGGAAGUGACAUAUGCGUUUGAUUAGCAUAAGAAAGUCAUUGUGCCCACAGAGAGACCACUUGAUUAAGGGAAACGUCGUUUUAGGAGUUUUAUACUACAUAAACUUGGUAUUUACCUGACCCGCGAAGGUACAACGAUAUCCUUAAAUUCAGAUUCCGCCCGUUUGUCAAAUAAAGGGAGACAGCAGCAGUUUUAGGGAGAGGGGAAACCGAACUGCACCCUCCGAUGUCCAAUAGGGGGCGUAUUGGUCGUGAGUCCGAUGUGGUGAAUCAAUAUGAAAAAACUGGCGCGCAUGCGUUUUGGGUCUCUAUGCUGGCGCCUUCCCUAGGCGAAGAAUCGGAUGUGCACACUGCCUCAUAACAUCCCCGGGUGGCGCUAUGCUUAUUAUUGCGCUGUGCUCAACCGGACUACUUUCCAAGUAUCACGUGCUUUCUUCAUAUCCCGGGUUUCAGCCGUGGGUCAAGUGCAAGGCCAUUGAAUUGGGCGUGCUGAGAAAAUGUCCAGCGGUUCCAUCACCUCCAGCACAACGGUGCGCGGGCCCGUCAUGACCAGCCUGGUGACGACACGGUAGUCAAGGUGGAGGACACAGCGGCCGUUCACCUGGCAGAUAAACUGCCGCACCUGAGAAAGGCCAGCAACAUCGGCGUUUAGGACCCCUGUCGCUUCCUUAAACCACCUCUCUGUAUAGAAUACUCCCUCCUAUCACUACAGGUUUGCCAAGCCACCAAGGGAAGUGGAAUGAGCUCUCACUGCUCAUAAAGCCUUUGGCCACGCAUGAAGACCUUCAUCUCCAUGUUGAAGGGGAAGGUUCCGUCGUCCUUCCGGAAUCGGUACAGCAGUUUGGCAUCCUUAAACGUCGAUUGCUUGUCACAAACUAGGAGGGAGAAGCAUGACAAUGAUGGAUAAUAUGUCGGAAGGGCCCCCAGAGACAGGGGAACACACCUGGAACCUUCAGCUACAUUACUAUAAUUUUUCUUUCUCUGAUUUAGUCUCAGUUGGUGACAGAAAGCUUCAAUGAACUUCAGCAUUCAUGCUCCAGUUUGCUUCAUGCUUUGUCAUUGUCCUUUACUCUGUUUUGCACUGUGGAGUGCUGGAGGUCAAUUUAUAUACAAAACUGAUGUUUAAGAAGAUGUUUUUGUUGGCAUUUUGGGAAUUGUGACAUGUGAGAUGUAGGUUAUAGUGUGCAGUGUUCGGGAAGUUACUCACGAAAGUAAUCCCUUACUGACAAGGUGGAAUGUUCAGAUCCAGAAUGUAUAAACCCAAACCAAGGUUUUGUUUCAACCAACCAGCUGAGUACUCUGUGACUGUGGCUCUUUGUAUAAUAAAAUGACUCAGCAAUACUAAUGCAAUGAAUCAUUUAAAUCUACUGACUUCUUUCCUGCACAAUGGGAGGAA